GUGGAAACUUCCUUUGAGCACUGCCCAGGCACACGGGCUGCUCCCCAGCCCCGUGCUGAGCUGGCUGUGUUGGUGCCGUGCUGCUGAGCCAUCACAUUCGUACGGCUGCCUUCGCUCAGAGCUCUGCAGGAACAGCGCAGGUGGGAAAAAAGGAACUACGAGGAGCCCCAGAAAGCACUGAGCGGCGGCAGCACAAAAAUUGACUCCAUCCCAGAGUAACUGUGCAGCAGAAGGACGUGUCGUCAGGGCAGGACCCGCAGCCCAAAGUCAGCCAUCCCCGUGAGCUCAGCAGGAGGCGUUUUGCUGGGAAGGCUCCAUUCCCCCCUCUGUUACAGCCUCGUAAGGUGAGGAGUCCUUCAGCAGCUCCAACCGCCCUGCACAGUGGAGGCAAUGAGGGCCAUUGGUCGUCACAUCUCUGCGCUCAGCUCAGGGAGAAUCCCCACAGCUCUACUUUAGGAAACCUGGAGAUCCGACAGCAGCCAGCAGAAGGAAAGGGCUGAGUGCUGAGUUAUGGGUGCCAGAGCAAAUCCGGACAUCUCCCCGUGUUCCAUUGGGAGCUCCCAUGGAAGGCGGCCGGGGAAGCGGUGACCGACUUCGUGUCCUUCACCUGAACCCCCAAACCUCACACAAACUCAUUAGAGAAAAAGAAACAUCGACCAGCAAGGCAAUUCCCAG
ensembl:lncRNA